UCCUGGCUUAGGACGAACGCUGGCGGCGUGCUUCAUACAUGCAAGUCGAACGAGAAAUCAUCUUCGGAUGGUGGAAAGUGGCGGACGGGUGAGUAAUAUGUAGAGAAUCUGCCCUAGAGAGUGGGACAACAGAGGGAAACUUCUGCUAAUACCGCAUAUGAGCGUAGCUGAGAUGCUAUUCUUGAAAACUCCGGUGCUCUAGGAUGAGUCUGCAUCUGAUUAGCUAGUUGGGGGUGUAAUGGACCACCAAGGCGACGAUCAGUAGCUGGUUUGAGAGGAUGAUCAGCCACAAUGGGACUGAGACACGGCCCAUACUCCUACGGGAGGCAGCAGUAGGGAAUUUUGCGCAAUGGGCGAAAGCCUGAACCGCAGCAACGCCGCGUGAUUGAAGAAGCCCUUCGGGGUGUAAAGAUCUGUCAGUGGGGACGAAACUUGACGGUACCCACAGAGGAAGCACCGGCUAACUCCGUGCCAGCCGCAGC
rnacentral:rRNA from 1 species